GUGACUUUCACUAUCAGCGAAUAUAAAAACAUGUCUACGAGGAUCAUGUACAAGGGAAAGCAUCUAAAGAAAGAAAGCAUUUGAGUUUUGGUCCCACCAUUCUUCCCAGGACAUUCAAAAAGGAAAAGAAGACAAGAAUAAUUCUGAUAUCGGCCAAGCAGGAAUAUGGAGCACAGUGUAACAAAUACAACAACAGCCACUAUUCCUCCGAUGAGAGCAUGGUCAGGGCCAUUCUGGCCAGCCAGAGAAUUGGGAUCUGCAAGAGAAUGAAGAACAGUGUUUUAGCUAGUCUGUUACUGUCUCCUGAAGUACAUAUCUGGAACUAGAUGAGCCAUUUUAAAACAGCAUGUUUCUAUUAAAAUGAAUUUGCAUUGAU
ensembl:processed_transcript 1700010K23Rik RIKEN cDNA 1700010K23 gene